AACGCACAUUGCACUCUAUUUCGGUAGAGUAUGCCUGUUUGAGAAUCUAUAGUAUUUAUUCUGUACUGUGACUUGUUUUGCGACUUGACUCGGUAAAGAGAUUUGAAGCGUCUCUCCCCAGAGUGCUUUUAAAUAGAUUGCCUGCUUGUUGUUUCGAGUGUUUGACACUAGACACCAAGUUGACGAAAUGUAUUCGAAUGAACUUUGUUCUCCUGAUACUUUAAGCAACUGUCUGGUUUAGCUCGCUUCUUCAAAUAGGUCCUCACCUUGUAAACCACCCUAAAAAGUAGUUUGAACCUUGGUCUCAAAUCAGGUAGGAUUACCCGCUGAACUUAA
rnacentral:misc_RNA from 1 species